GACAGAGGUCCCGAGCGUUAGGCGGAAUCACUGGGCUUAAAGCGUGUGUAGGCGGACUUCUAAGUACCUUGUGAAAUCCCACGGCUUAACCGUGGAACUGCUUGGUAUACUGGUUGUCUUGGGCCAUCUAGGGGCUACUGAAACAAACGGUGGAGCGGUGAAAUGCGUAGAUAUCGUUUGGAACGCCAAUGGUGAAAACAAGUAGCUGGGGAUGUGCCGACGCUGAGACACGAAAGCCAGGGGAGCGAACGGG
rnacentral:rRNA from 1 species